UUUUGUACUCACUGUGUGUUAAUAUUCGCUGUGCAUAACAGGAUGCUACUGUAUUACCUGCUCUACAGUGUUCUUCUGAUGUUACCUGCUUCAAUUGAUUUCAUCAAUAGGUUAGACUAUUUCGCCGGAAUAUUACUGCUGGUUUAAUCACAUUAUACCAACAAUGUCACCUCAAAUUCCCUGGUUAAACAUACUGUCAUUUGUCACAUAUGUUGUAUUGACGCAUGCUCGGUAUUCAGAGCUUCUAUAUGUCUUUGCUUUCUUCUGCCUAAAUACUUCUCCAAACAAAUUCCUUACCAAAACCAAACAAAAUAUUCCAUGUAAUAUAAUUACAGAUUCUUUCCAUUUGACCCAUAUGUAUUUGUAACUUAUUUCAUGUUGAAUUUGCGGAAAUUAUAUAUGCGUAAAUACUGACUUUAUUUCACAGGUAAUUGCCUGCAACUCAGCGCUACAAAUACCACUGAUACAGCAGAGUCUGCUGGCUUCACACCAACCUUCUCAGUAUCACCACCUUAAACGCUAGCCACUCCACCAGAUUCAGACACAUCGCAUACGUGAUCGCAGGUAGCUUCUAUGUUUUCUCCCAUCAUCUAUAUGCUGUUAUACAG
rnacentral:lncRNA from 1 species